GGAAUGGUAGUUCAAUUGGAAGAACAUUACAAGCUCAUUGUAAAGGAUGGGAGUUCGAGUCUCCCUCAUUUCC
rnacentral:tRNA from 1 species